UACGUAGGGUGCGAGCGUUAAUCGGAAUUACUGGGCGUAAAGGGUGCGCAGGCGGUUCUGCAAGUCAGGCGUGAAAUCCCCGGGCUUAACCUGGGAAUGGCGCUUGAAACUACGGGACUGGAGUAUGGCAGAGGGAGGUGGAAUUCCACGUGUAGCGGUGAAAUGCGUAGAGAUGUGGAGGAACACCAAUGGCGAAGGCGGCUCACUGGACCGGUACUGACGCUGAGGCGCGAAAGCGUGGGGAGCAAACAGG
rnacentral:rRNA from 1 species